rnacentral:rRNA from 1 species
UACGUAGGGUGCGAGCGUUAAUCGGAAUUACUGGGCGUAAAGCGUGCGCAGGCGGUUGUGUAAGACAGGUGUGAAAUCCCCGGGCUUAACCUGGGAACGGCGCUUGUGACUGCACGGCUAGAGUACGGCAGAGGGGGGGUGGAAUUCCACGUGUAGCAGUGAAAUGCGUAGAUAAUGUGGAGGAACACCGAUGGCGAAGGCAGCCCCCUGGGCCGAUACUGACGCUCAUGCACGAAAGCGUGGGGAGCAAACAGGA